UACGGAGGGUGCAAGCGUUAAUCGGAAUUACUGGGCGUAAAGCGCACGCAGGCGGUUUGUUAAGUCAGAUGUGAAAUCCCCGGGCUCAACCUGGGAACUGCAUCUGAUACUGGCAAGCUUGAGUCUUGUAGAGGGGGGUAGAAUUCCAGGUGUAGCGGUGAAAUGCGUAGAGAUCUGGAGGAAUACCAGUGGCGAAGGCGGCUUCCUGGACGGAGACUGACACUGAGGCGCGAAAGCGUGGGGAGCAAACAGG
rnacentral:rRNA from 1 species